rnacentral:rRNA from 1 species
AUAAACCAGGAUUAGAUACCCUAUUAUAUUUAAACAAAUUGGGUAGUAUUAUUAAUAAAAACCUUUAUACUUUGGCGGCAUUUUAUCUUAUUAGAGGAAUAUGUUCAUUAAUCGAAACCACACGAUAGUUUUUACUUACUAUAAAAUUUUAUAUACCCCCGUCUAAAGAAUUUAUUUAAAAUUUUUAUUCCAAAUUAUAUUAAAAAAAGUUAGGUAAAGGUGUAGACUAUUAGUAAGAUUAAAUGUAUUACAUUAAAAAAAAAUUUAAGGAUAAAACAGUUAACUGUUUAUUAAAAGAGGAUUUAUAAGUAAUUUACUUUUAAUAAAAAUUAAUGAAUAAGAAAAUAAAUGUGCACAUAUCGCCCGUCACU